rnacentral:rRNA from 1 species
GACGAACGCUGGCGGCGUGCCUAAUACAUGCAAGUCGAGCGGGCUUAUUCCUUCGGGGAUAAGCUAGCGGCGGACGGGUGAGUAACACGUAGGUAACCUGCCCAACAGCCUGGGAUAACGUCCGGAAACGGAUGCUAAUACCGGAUACGCUAACCGGAACACCUGUUCCGGCACGGAAAGGCGGAGCAAUCUGCCACUGAUGGAUGGGCCUGCGGCGCAUUAGCUAGUUGGUGGGGUAAAGGCUCACCAAGGCGACGAUGCGUAGCCGACCUGAGAGGGUGAUCGGCCACACUGGGACUGAGACACGGCCCAGACUCCUACGGGAGGCAGCAGUAGGGAAUCUUCGGCAAUGGACGAAAGUCUGACCGAGCAACGCCGCGUGAGUGAAGAAGGCUUUCGGGUCGUAAAACUCUGUUAUCCGAGAAGAACGUUUCAUGGAGUAACUGCCAUGGAAGUGACGGUAUCGGAGA